CCCUUAGAGUUUGAUCCUGGCUCAGAACGAACGCUGGCGGCGUGCCUAACACAUGCAAGUCGAGCGCGAAUAGGGGCAACCCUUAGUAGAGCGGCGCACGGGUGUGUAACACGUGGGUAAUCUGCCUCAGAGAUUGGGACAACCUGCCGAAAGGCUGGCUAAUACCGGAUAAGACCACGGGGACUUCGGUUCCUGAGGGAAAAGGUGGCCUCUGUAUACAAGCUAUCACUCUGAGAUGAGCCCGCGGCCCAUCAGCUAGUUGGUGAGGUAAUGGCUCACCAAGGCAACGACGGGUAGCUGGUCUGAGAGGACGAUCAGCCACACUGGAACUGAGACACGGUCCAGACUCCUACGGGAGGCAGCAGUGGGGAAUUUUGCACAAUGGGCGAAAGCCUGAUGCAGCAACGCCGCGUGUGUGAUGAAGGUCUUCGGAUUGUAAAGCACUUUCGACCGGGACGAAAACCCGUUGGCUAAUAUCCAGCGGCUUGACGGUACCGGGAGAAGAAGCACCGGCUAACUCUGUGCCAGCAGCCGUGGUAAUACAGAGGGUGCAAGCGUUGUUCGGAAUUAUUGGGCGUAAAGCGCGUGUAGGCGGCAUGGCAAGUCGGGGUGUGAAAGCCCUCAGCUCAACUGAGGAAGUGCGCCCGAAACUGCCUUGCUUGAGUGCUGGAGAGGGUCGCGGAAUUCCCCAAGUAGAGGUGAAAUUCGUAGAUAUGGGGAGGAACACCGGGUGGCGAAGGCGGCGACCUGGACAGUAACUGACGCUGAGACGCGAAAGCGUGGGGAGCAA
rnacentral:rRNA from 1 species